UACACGGCAAGACUUGGCGAAAGAUUUCCCACCUAGCGUAGGUGACAUGCGGAAGACCAUUAUCAGACAGUAAGGGGGACACUAGCUAGGACACUCAUGACGUCACACACUAGCGUCCACGCCUGCUUCUCGUGUCACCUAGAUGCCCGGAUGUGACAUUAAUUCCCCCAGACUGACCGUUGGACUGGGAUAGAGAGCGAGCAGGAAGUUUGUUGGUGCGAUAGUCGCCACACGAGAGCUCGGCAUGCUGGGUGCGGCCAUGAUACGGUUGGCCAGCCACUGGUGUCGUUCAUGGAACUGUCACACAGGACAGGACAGGACAGGACAGGACAGACCCUGCACCUGCACCUGCCACAAGGAGGCUGAUGUGCCACUCAGGUGCCCGGUGCCGUGUCGCCACCAUGUCUGCUCUCUGGCUUUUUGCCGUGUGUUUGUGGGUCUCCUUAGGAGAGCCCGUGGGUGCCAGUGUCCGGUGCACCUACCGCGUGACGAUGGGGAGCUGGGUGUCCUACAAGGACCUGCAGUGCGACUACGGCUGUUGUCUGCAUGACUGCUGUACUUACGACGACCACAAGAAGGUCACCACCCAGACCUGGACAUACGUUGGAGUCUGUUUGGGCGCAGUGUUCGUGGUGUCACUCAUCGUCUCCGUUGUCAUCUAC
rnacentral:misc_RNA from 1 species